rnacentral:rRNA from 1 species
ACGGCCCGUUCGCCGACCGUGGCAACAAAGAGGCCCGGCUGGGCUUCGUCGUCUCCUCCCAUGGCUAGCGAGUAAAGAAGCGUCGCAGGAGUUCGGUGCAGUGUAGUCACACGAAGCGAGUUCGUGGCCACACGCUGCCUCGUCUCUGUUUGCUUGAUGCAAGGCUCGCGGGAGUGAUUGACGGUUAGCGGCGAGUAGAUCGGUCACCCACCUGACCCGUCUUGAAACACGGACCAAGGAGUCUAACAUGUGCGCAAGUCAAUGGGUCUUGAACAAGCCCGGCGGCGCAAUGAAAGUACAGGCCGGAGGAGUCCGGCCGCAUUC